AAGUGCCCUUAACAGCCAUUCCUGCAGCAGGCAUGGUUCUCUGUGCCCUUCCCUUUACAUUUUGGUUUGGUUAAUAUUUUAUGUAUGGUUUUUACUGCCACAGAAGCAAACAGUACAUAUGAGAGGCGCAUACUGGAUCUGAGACAUCUGUUUUGGGAAUAUCUAGGCAAUUAGCUGGGAUUUACUCACCGGCAGCCAGGUGCAUAUGUGUAUGAUUUAUGGAAUUUGCAUACACUUGAUAUGAUUUAUACUUCUGAUGAACACAACAGUAUUAUUUCCAUUCGGCUGGGUGCCUGCAGGCCCAUCACUGCAGCCUGUUCUCCAGGUGACUCUGUGCCGCACAGCGGCUCCAGCACUGCGUCUCAGUGGGUGAUGCACUCAGCUACCUGGGGAGCGUGGAGGACUCUUACCACCACUGCUGAGACCAUGAGGCUGCUCAUUGGCACACAGCAAGGGAUCUGGGGAAACCUCCAGAUGUCAGAGCUGAAGUCAGUAUGAGUACAGAACCUAAAAUCAAUGCGCUGGCAACUGGAGAGACAGAAACACUCAAAACGUCGGGAGUUGAAAGUUGCUUUCAAGGUGUAUUCAUCUGCAAAAUCUGCUAGAAAUACAAGCUGUGUUCUGUUAGAACUUUGGAGUGUUGGACUGUGAUUUCAAUGCUGGAUGCAUUGUGUUGGGCACCCAGCUCAGGAGCACUGCAAUCCACUCUGAAGGAGACUGACGGCCCUUCAGCCUCAAGGCUGGGUUCCUUCCUGAUACUGUUGUGAUCCUUCUAAUACUAAGUGACAUAAAUAUUCCAGGGAUGUUUUCAGUGCUUCUGUUAGCAUCUUCUUCUACUUUAAAUUGCUCAUGUAUGCCAAUUACAUCACUUUGAAGGGAGAAAAAAUUUGUAAUGCUUCCCCAAAAUUUUGUUAGCUAUCUCGUGUAUCACUGGAACUCAUUGGCUUUGAUAAAAUACUAUAUCUGAUGAAAACUGUUUCAUCAAAGAUGUUCCAAGAAACAGUUCCA
ensembl:lncRNA